AACCUUAACCCUCUCUUAAGAACCCCAAAACUCCAUUUUAUUCUCUUUAAUAUAAUCAAGGAUCGAAGUUCCCUAAUUCAAGAAGUUCAACAAAGCUUCAAGAUCAUCCCUUAAAAUCCAAGCUUUCAUCCAUCAAAUCAAGCCUAUUAAUGUAUGUGGGGUUAUGAACAAAGGUAUCCUUUCACCUUAGUGCCUAAAUUGCAU
rnacentral:lncRNA from 1 species